rnacentral:lncRNA from 1 species
GCGUACUAUUCUUUAAGGAAUUGAAUAUCUCUAAUCUAAUCUGGAUAUGUCAACCUACAUCCAAGAUAUAAACAGUUUCUCAUGUUUUCAAAUAUCAAGUGUACCCAGGUUCAUACCACUAUACUAUAUGGUGUAUAUAGUAUAAUAUAUUUAUAAUAUGGUUUACUAUAUACCCAAAUAUAAACCCAAAUAGAAUGUAUAUAAUAUGGUUUACUAUACCCAAACAUUUACUUAGUAAAUCUAAACCCUAGGUAGAAACCUAUAAACCCAAAUACAAUCUAUAAAUUAUUUUCCAAUAUUAAACACUUGAAAGCACAUUUACUUGAAAUAAAUAGAUUAAGCUAAAUUCUAAUCAAGAAAAUAUAAACCCAAAUAGAAUAUAUAUAAUAUGGUUUACUAUACCCAAACCUUUACUUAGUAAAUCUAAACCCUAAAAUCUAAUCACUAAACCCUAACUCAAAUAUAAACCCUAAACCCAAAUAUAAACACAAAACCCCAAUAGAAUAGAACAAAAUAAAUAACAUAGUACAUAUUGGUGAAACUAUAAAAUAUCUAUGAUUGCAUGAAAGAAGUUAAUGCUCACCCCAACCAUACCCCCUCACCUUCUAAAUACUAAACCUUACAUUCUAGUCACUAAUCCCUAAUCCAAAUAUACCCUAAACCCUAAACCUAAAUAAAUAGAUUAAGCUAAACCCUAAUCAAGA